rnacentral:lncRNA from 1 species
UGCUCUUAUGGUCCUGCUCUGGGCCUGUGAUGAGGGUGAAAGCUUCAAAGAUCUCUGAAAUGCCUUUGGGGUCUUUACCAAAGAAGUAGCCACUCCAAGUGGACUCUGCAUGUCCUAAGGCAGGGAAGAGGCCUCCGAAUGACAUCUUGCCCUCUGCCUCCCACCAGGUUGUUCUGGGAUGUCCCUGGAGAGUAUAAGUGUCUCGUUAAUUACUAGUCAGUUAUGUGUUUUACAUAUAUUGAUUAGUCUGAGCGUCUACCUUGAUUAGCAAAGACCAUGUUUUUAUGUAUUAACUCAUUUAAUCUUUACCUGUGGUGGCUUCAAGAAUGGCCACAAAUUCUUUAUACUCCUGCCAUGGAGAGGUGGGGGUCUGCAGGCAAAUUGCAAGGUCAGGAGUUCAAGACCACCCUGGCCAACAUGGCGAAACCCCGUGUCUACCGUAACAGGCAAUCCAGAGAUGUUCACUGUCUCAUGAAAUCCACAAGAGUGGCCUGGACUGCAGAUUCUGAACUGUCCUAGAGAGAAUGAUGGAACAUCCCUACACAGCCAUCCCCCACCCAGCCCCACCUCCCACCAGGCUCUAUCACCUGGUCUUGCUCAAGGUAGAUCUGGGGAAAAUGCUUAAUCCCAGGCCAGAUUCACUCAGCCAG